AGCUUUGCUCAGUGGCAGUAUCGUAGUCAAUGAGGUUUAUCCGAGGGGUGAUUAUUGCUUUAAAAAAAAAGAAAGAAAAUGCAAUGAGGAGCAAUCAAAAUACCCUGCCAAAAUGGGGAUUGUCUUUAGUCCUUGAUGCUGCCUUCAGAUCGUUUCCCAGGCA
rnacentral:snRNA from 1 species